UACGGAGGGUGCGAGCGUUAUUCGGAAUCACUGGGCGUAAAGGGCGCGUAGGCGGCCUGGUAAGUCAGGGGUGAAAUCCCACGGCUCAACCGUGGAAUUGCCUUUGAAACUGCUGGGCUUGGAUCCUGGAGAGGGUGGCGGAAUUCCUGGUGUAGGAGUGAAAUCCGUAGAUAUCAGGAGGAACACCGGUGGCGAAGGCGGCCACCUGGACAGGUAUCGACGCUGAGGCGCGAAAGUGUGGGGAGCAAACCGG
rnacentral:rRNA from 1 species